ensembl:lncRNA
GCUGGAGAUCCCUGUGUACCUGAGGCCUUCUAAAGAACGUCAGUAGAAUGUUGGCAAAUCAGGAAGCUGGAGAGAGGUGUACUGGGUUCUGCUUUCUUCUGUGGCAUUGAUUCAUGGUGGACUUUCACCCGACAUACCUGGAGCCAUGUGCAGCCAUAACCACUGCAUAACAGAAAAAAUAUUUAGCAAGACUUAUGAAGAUACAUGGCAUCGUUUUCAAAAACAUGGAGGGAAAAGAGAAAGGCGUGCUUUUUCCAAUAUGAAGAAUGGAAAGAGAAUUUUGAAACUGUUCUGUGUAAAACCUUGUCUUUGCAAGGAGGUACACAUCCCCUGACUGCAGGUGGAGGAAAACAUACUCAGAUCUUCAUAAAGGACGUUCUCAAUAUAAAAGAAAAAGAAUAUCCUUUUUGGACUACCACCAAAGAGUAGGAGGAAGAACUUGAGAAAUACAGAGUGCUAUUUCUUUGGAGAUGCUCAGCUACAGUACGCUGCUCCAGAGAAUUGCUCUGGUUAAUGAAAGGUGUGAACUACUGGACCAGCUCUGGAACCUUUGUCCUCUCCCAGAGCCAAGGUGCUGUCUUCCAAAAUGGGAUCUGAACACAAGAUAUGAACGCACAAAGGAAGAUAUAGCUACAUAGGUGAAACUGCACUGAAAAAAUAUCAAGUGGAAAAUUAACCUCAUAUAAACAACCAUGCUAGGAAUAAAAAUAAAAAUAUUAAAUGCUCUGCGUGUACAGAAAGGCAGCUUGGAUACUGGCCUGCACCAUUCAGUGUUCUCAGCAAAGACUAAUGUUGCAUUACAAUGAAUGUCACUUUAAUGAGGCAGAAAAAAUUGGUCCGAAGACAGCCUGCUGAAUUCAAUCACCUGCUUCACUUGACAUGAGAAACUAGUCACAGGACAUGCCAUACACAGCCCCAGCAGUGACAGUGCUCCCUGUAACAAUAUGAAGUUGCAAAAGAUUUCAACCUGUGAACUACUUCUACAGAUGAACAGAUCAUGUUUUAACAUGAACAAGCUCUAUUUGCUUUAUUGGGAAAAACAUGAAAUUGUGUUUAUCACCAUCAUCCUUGCCUUUUGGAAGGAGAAGAAGCCAGGCAAAUUUCUUGGGGAAAAUCUUGUGCGAGGCUUACCCUCCAGGACUACAUUAAAAAGCAAACAAAACCCAGUACGCUGCAAUUUGAGGACAGGACUCAAAGAAUUCAUAAAAGAAAUGAAAAUUGUCUUGAUUCAAUUUAUUUCUGAAUUCAGUGUAUCCUUUUAAGACCAGUAUUGGUCAUAGAUAUAUUCUGGUUAUAGCCAAGGUUUUACCCUAAUAAUUAUCAAUCAUAUAUAGCAGCUUAAAUCUGUACCUUUUUCCAGUAAAGCUGUAACCAUGUAUACAGCAAAAGAAGAAAUUGCAAUAGGAGCAACAGAAAUCUGUCACUGUAGCAGUGUAGGUGGCUCUUAAUUCUAACAAAAAUGCCAUGUGUUAUGACGUACAGGUGUAAACUAUGCCACUGUACAGAUGAAUAAAGUCAAU